UGGGGUAUAGCUCAGUGGUAGAGUACUUGCCUAGUAAGCAUGAGGCCCUGAGUUCAAUCCCCAGUACUGUAA